rfam:Desulfotomaculum reducens MI-1, complete genome.
GAAACUGAAGGGCAAACCCGAACGAAAGACGGGGACGCAAAACCUUGGGUCUAAGGUUCUAGGAAUGAACUAUUGAUUGCCAGGCUGCAAAA